rnacentral:rRNA from 1 species
AGAGUUUGAUCAUGGCUCAGAAUGAACGCUGGCGGCGUGCUUAACACAUGCAAGUCGAGCGCGAAAGUGGCUUCGGCCAUGAGUAGAGCGGCGAACGGGUGAGUAACACGUGGAUAACCUGCCUAGAUGUGGGGGAUAACUUGGGGAAACCUAAGCUAAUACCGCAUGUCAUCGCGCGAUCUAGGUUUCGCGAUCAAAGGCCGCCUCUCCUUGGAAGCGGUCGCGUCUAGAGGGGUCCGCGGCUGAUUAGCUAGUUGGUGGGGUAACGGCCUACCAAGGCAACGAUCAGUAGCCGGCCUGAGAGGGUGAUCGGCCACACUGGAACUGAGACACGGUCCAGACUCCUACGGGAGGCAGCAGUGGGGAAUAUUGGACAAUGGGCGAAAGCCUGAUCCAGCAACGCCGCGUGGAGGAUGAAGGCCUUCGGGUUGUAAACUCCUGUCAGGUGGAACGAAAAGCCUGGCCGAACAAGCCAGGGCUAUGACGGUACCACCAGAGGAAGCCCCGGCUAACUCCGUGCCAGCAGCCGCGGUAAUACGGAGGGGGCGAGCGUUAUUCGGAAUUAUUGGGCGUAAAGGGCGCGUAGGCGGCCAAGCAAGUCAGGGGUGAAAUCCCUCGGCUCAACCGAGGAAUUGCCUCUGAAACUGCAUGGCUUGAGACCGGGAGAGGGGUGGAAUUCCCAGUGUAGCGGUGAAAUGCGUAGAUAUUGGGAGGAACACCAGUGGCGAAGGCGGCCACCUGGACCGGUUCUGACGCUGAUGCGCGAAAGUGUGGGGAGCAAACAGGAUUAGAUACCCUAGUAGUCC